rnacentral:rRNA from 1 species
ACUUUCCAGAGAUGGAUUGGUGCCUUCGGGAACUCGAACACAGGUGCUGCAUGGCUGUCGUCAGUCGGGACGUGGGAUGUUGGGUUAAGUCCCGCAACGAGCGCAACCUUGUCCUUAGUUGCCAGCACGUAAUGGUGGGAACUCUAAGGAGACCGCCGGUGACAAACCGGAGGAAGGUGGGGAUGACUUCAAGUCAUCAUGGCCCUUACGACCAGGGCUACACACGUACUACAAUGGUAGGGACAGAGGGCUGCAAACCCGCGAGGGCAAGCCAAUCCCAGAAACCCUAUCUCAGUCCGGAUUGGAGUCUGCAACUCGACUCCAUGAAGUCGGAAUCGCUAGUAAUCGCA